GCUCCUAGUACGAGAGGACCGGAGUGGACGCAUCACUGGUGUUCGGGUUGUCAUGCCAAUGGCACUGCCCGGUAGCUAAAUGCGGAAGAGAUAAGUGCUGAAAGCAUCUAAGCACGAAACUUGCCCCGAGAUGAGUUCUCCCUGAGACUUAGAGUCUCCUGAAGGAACGUUGAAGACGACGACGUUGAUAGGCCGGGUGUGUAAGCGCAGCGAUGCGUUGAGCUAACCGGUACUAAUGAACCGUGAGGCUUAACCUUACAACGCCGAAG
rnacentral:rRNA from 2 species